UGCAAUAUUAAUAAUAAUAACAGACUUCAUUGAGGGGAGUUCUGAACCCUAGGACUGGGUGCAGCAGGGUAGUAGGGUGUAAUUUUAUUCCAAGGGCAGUAACAGUGAGGCUGUUGACGGCGUGUGUGUGUGAAGAAUGACUCUCUCUGUGUGACUGUCUGUCUCACUGUCUCAGGACAGCAGCGUGCUAGCUUGCUUGCCUCUGCAGUGCACACAGGAGCAGUACCACGCCAGGGAUACAGAAUAUUGAAGCUAAGUGGCUAGGCUCUGUCCAUGACUGAAGAAUAUUCAGAGUCUACAUUGUGCCAGAGAUUCGAGGAAGGUCAUUAUGACGGGGUCCUAAUUGGAGACAGAGGCUGCGCAGGUAGACCCUUCUUCAUGACCCCAUACCCAGAACCAGCACCAGGGCCCGUAGCACGAUUCAAUGUGGCUCUUGCAAGGACAAGAGCUCGAAUUGAAAUGACCUUUGGACAACUAAAGGCCUGAUUCAACCGUCUUCGUAGUCUGAGGGUUGCACCAGACAGAGCCUGCGACAAGAAAGGAGAGGGUCCCAGUCUUACAAGCCCAGCCCGAAGAAGACGUGGAUCCGGUGCACCUGGAUCAGCAGAACGGCCGAGAUGCAAG